rnacentral:sRNA from 1 species
AAAAUAAAGUGACAGAUGACCACCCUGCAGCUCUCCAGCUUCCUCUCUGAAAUUCCAGUCCCAAAAUCCAGUUUCCUGGCCGCCUCCUGGCUCAGAGCCCCACCCAGCAGAGGGGCAGUGGCGGGCAGUGGACGUGGUCCUAGACUGCUUCCUGGCGAAGGACAGUGCGCACCGUGGAGCUCUCGCCAGCAGUGAGGACAGGGCAAGGGCCUCCCUUGUGCUGAAGCAGGUGCCAGUGCUGGACGAUGGCUCCCUGGAGGACUUCACUGAUUUCCAAGGGGGCACGCUGGCCCAAGAUGACCCACCUAUUAUCUUCGAGGCCUCAGUGGACCUGGUCCAGAUUCCCCAGGCCGAGGCCUUGCUCCAUGCUGACUGCAGUGGGAAGGAGGUGACCUGUGAGAUCUCCCGUUACUUUCUCCAGAUGACAGAGACCACUGUUAAGACAGCAGCUUGGUUCAUGGCCAACGUGCAGGUCUCUGGAGGGGGACCUAGCAUCUCCUUGGUGAUGAAGACUCCCAGGGUCGCCAAGAAUGAGGCUCUCUGGCACCCGACGCUGAACUUGCCCCUGAGCCCCCAGGGGACUGUGCGAACUGCAGUGGAGUUCCAGGUGAUGACACAGACCCAAUCCCUGAGCUUCCUGCUGGGGUCCUCAGCCUCCUUGGACUGUGGCUUCUCCAUGGCACCGGGCUUGGACCUCAUCAGUGUGGAGUGGCGACUGCAGCACAAGGGCAGGGGUCAGCUGGUGUACAGCUGGACAGCAGGGCAGGGGCAGGCUGUGCGGAAGGGCGCUAUCCUGGAGCCUGCGCAACUGGGCAUGGCCAGGGAUGCCUCCCUCACCUUGCCCGGCCUCACUAUACAGGACGAGGGGACCUACAUUUGCCAGAUCACCACCUCUCUGUACCGAGCUCAGCAGAUCAUCCAGCUCAACAUCCAAGCUUCCCCUAAAGUACGACUGAGCUUGGCAAACGAAGCUCUGCUGCCCACCCUCAUCUGCGACAUUGCUGGCUAUUACCCUCUGGAUGUGGUGGUGACAUGGACCCGAGAGGAGCUGGGUGGAUCCCCAGCCCAAGUCUCUGGUGCCUCCUUCUCCAGCCUCAGGCAAAGCGUGGCAGGCACCUACAGCAUCUCCUCCUCUCUCACCGCAGAACCUGGCUCUGCAGGUGCCACUUACACCUGCCAGGUCACACACAUCUCUCUGGAGGAGCCCCUUGGGGCCAGCACCCAGGUUGUCCCACCAGAGCGGAGAACAGCCUUGGGAGUCAUCUUUGCCAGCAGUCUCUUCCUUCUUGCACUGAUGUUCCUGGGGCUUCAGAGACGGCAAGCACCUACAGGACUUGGGCUGCUUCAGGCUGAACGCUGGGAAACCACUUCCUGUGCUGACACACAGAGCUCCCAUCUCCAUGAAGACCGCACAGCGCGUGUAAGCCAGCCCAGCUUACACGCUAAAGUGACGUGAGACUACUAGAAAGAAACGACACCCUUCCCCCCAAGCCCCCCCCAGCUACUCCAACCCAAACAACAACCAAGCCAGUUUAAUGGUAGGAAUUUGUAUUUUUUGCCUUUGUUCAGAAUACAUGACAUUGGUAAAUAUGCCACAUGCCUUUGGUGGAAGUACAA